rnacentral:rRNA from 1 species
GACGGAGGGUGCAAGCGUUGUUCGGAAUUACUGGGCGUAAAGCGUACGUAGGUGGCGGAUUAAGUCGAAUGUUAAAGCCUGAGGCUCAACCUCAGAGAUGCAUUCGAUACUGGUCUGCUAGAGGGUGAUAGAGGAAAGCGGAAUUCCCAGUGUAGCGGUGAAAUGCGUAGAUAUUGGGAGGAACAUCAGUAGCGAAGGCGGCUUUCUGGGUCACACCUGACACUGAGGUACGAAAGCGUGGGGAGCAAACGGG